AUUGAUAUAUACAUAAUGCCGUUUAUUUCAUCAUAAAAGUUAAAUAGUUGAAUUCAUGUUAAAACGAAGCCAAGUCAAUAUUAUCAAUAUCACAAAAGUAAUAUUUACAAUUAUUUAAAAAAAUGUUUAUAAAAUGAAAUGAAACAAAUGUUUACUUUUUCAAGGAACAUACCAUUCAAUCAUUUUUUUUAGAUACAUAAGGAGGUCACUCACAAAGGCCAUGGGAUACACAUCUGAGAU